AAAUAUCGUGUAAUAUACCGAUUUUAAUAUAAAAGUAAAUAUAAAUAAAAAUAGUGUGAGAUGCUAUUUUUAUUUGACUUAAAGAAGUAAAAUAUAAGUCGGGAAUGACUUGUGCUGAAAUCGAAACGGAAACAGAAGAUUUAGAAUUUUCUGUAAGAAACGGAGCUGAUAUUUUAGCAGAAAAUUCACAGUGUCAGAAAAUUAUGAAAAUCUGAAAAUAUGUCGGGAUAAUUUUUAUGAGGCUAGAUUUAAAGUUUCAUAUCAUUCCGACAUCCGAAAAGUGAAAAAUAAAAUCCGACUG
rnacentral:lncRNA from 1 species